CACGCAGGGACCAAGCGUUGUCCGGAUUCAUUGGGCGUAAAGAGCUCGUAGGCGGUUCGAUAAGUCGGGUGUGAAACCUCCAGGCUCAACCUGGAGACGCCACCCGAUACUGUCGUGACUAGAGUCCAGUAGGGGAGCGUGGAAUUCCUGGUGUAGCGGUGAAAUGCGCAGAUAUCAGGAGGAACACCAGCGGCGAAGGCGGCGCUCUGGGGCUGGAAACUGACGCUGAGGAGCGAAAGCGUGGGGGAGCGAACAGGG
rnacentral:rRNA from 1 species